AGCCGCAAGAGUUUCAGCCUAAACACUGAAGACCCCGCGAAGUGAAUCCAGCUGCUGCUCUACAAGCAGCAACAACAACUGGGAAGCCUUCUCAGCUACACUUCGGGGCACUGGUCCAACCCCACGCAAAAUCCCUCGUUUCCCUUAGCGUGGUAAGACGGAGCCUGACCUGAGCUCCAACUGUCCUAUCUUUUUCAAAUGUUUCAAACUUACUGCCUUUGUUCAGCAGAACCACGGGCACGGUGAUGAUGGUGACAAGCGCAGCAGCACCCAGCAGUCCCAGAAGAACCUUCCACGGUGUCUGCAAGCCGAGCAGAUCAAGUCCAAUUAGAGGGAAGCGUGUGGCCCCAGUUUCCGUAGGAGGGUCGGGGCUGCUCCAGAGGCAGCAGGAUUUGCAGGAAGGAAGACUGUACACAGAGAAUAAAUAACUUGGCCAAGCCAUUCAGCUAGGAAGUUGUAGAUCCUAAAUUAAGAGUUCAAGGUCUUAAUGGCUACUCUAUGCGGCCUCUCAUAGUCUUUUCAAGGGUUUUGGAGAAGAAUAAAAGAUCAGUCAUCCACAGAUGUUUGAGUGGUUACAAUGUGCCAGCCUCCCUUCUAGGUACUGGAGAUAAAGUGGGACAAGAGAGGUGAGGUCUGGACCCUUGGCACUUUCACGAUAAAAUACACAGAUGAGUCAAUGGUGUUACUGGACCCUGUGAACUGAUGCUGUGAAGAGAGGCCAUUUAACACGGACUACGGGGAAUGGUGCCACAGGGGGCUCAGUGCUGCCCUUCACUCUCAGCAUUUUGCUCACUCAGCAUUGAUGACAGGAUGUCCCAAAAGUAACAAAAGAUGGGAGCCAGUCCUCUCAUAGCUGUUUCUUCAAUCAUCCCAUCAACAGCUCUUCAUUUAUUGAACUACCUUCCUUUUCCAAAGAGGUAAUGCUGAGAUCAGUCAGAAAGGCUUUCUGAGAAA
rnacentral:lncRNA from 10 species